rnacentral:lncRNA from 1 species
GCGGGCUCGAACGGAAGCCGUUUUGGGUCCUGUCAGGUCCACACGAAUAGCCACACUGGUAAUUGCUCCCACCUGCCUGCCCAGUGGGUCACUGCUUUCAACCGCACAUCAUGGGGACAGGGGAUCCUGGCUCUGACCAGAGACGUGGCAAGGGAGAGCGGGGGGAGAAACGGCAGGACAACCGAGCCUGGUCACAGCCGAGUGGAUGGCAUUCCUCUCAUUCCCAAAGCCCCAGAAGCUGGUUCUGGAAGUUGUAACGCAGCUUACGGAAAAGCGAUUCUGUUUUGCAACACUUGUUUUGGAGGCUGGCACGGAGCGGUGCUGCAGUUAGCAGGGAAGAAUGUUACUAACACCCAGUAAAGUUAUUUUAUUGACAACGCAGUAACAAAAUGCAGCCUUCAGAAACUUCUUAACACCAAUGUAGCAUGAAGAGGCAGGCACUCCGACCGGGAACCACCGGAUGCACGGCGGAUAGCUCCACCUAUCGUUCAUGCCUUGCUUUCAGACUGCAGCUAUACGCGCAUUCUGAAGCGGUCCAGGUGCAACAAUCGUAUUGUUUCCCAUAAGCUCUUUGCAUACUUCUCCACCCCUCUGCGCUUGUGCGUUAGGUGUCCUGAGUCUCUCUUGCUGGUCCCAAGGACCCCUUUCAAUAGUCUUCCUUAGCUGCCCUUUGGUAACCUCUCCCCUCAAGCACAUGCAUCGCCCAGUUGGCAGGGAUGACUUGUUUUUGUCUUACUUCUGCCUCGUAGCUCUUGACCACAACGUUCUUGUAUCUUAAUGACAUGUCUGGAUGUCCCAC